GAUGAACGCUAGCGGCAGGCCUAAUACAUGCAAGUCGAACGGUGUCUUCGGACAUAGUGGCGCACGGGUGCGUAACACGUAUGCAACCUACCUUACAUUGGGGGAUAGCCUUUCGAAGGGGAGAUUAAUACCGCAUAAGACAGUAACUAGGCAUCUAGUAGCUGUUAAAGAUUUAUCGAUGUAAGCUGGGCAUGCGUCCAAUUAGCUAGUUGGUGAGGUAACGGCUCACCAAGGCAAUGAUUGGUAGGGGAACUGAGAGGUCAAUCCCCCACACUGGCACUGAGAUACGGGCCAGACUCCUACGGGAGGCAGCAGUAGGGAAUAUUGGGCAAUGGACGCAAGUCUGACCCAGCCAUGCCGCGUGCAGGAUGAAGGCGUUAUGCGUUGUAAACUGCUUUUAUACAGGAAGAAACGACUCUUGCGAGAGGCAUUGACGGUACUGUAUGAAUAAGCACCGGCUAACUCCGUGCCAGCAGCCGCCGUAAAAC
rnacentral:rRNA from 1 species